rnacentral:tRNA from 1 species
AAUAAAUUUUAUCUGUCUUCUAAACUGAUUUUAGGAUUUCCUAUUUAUUU